UCCCCGGUGGCUCAGACGGUAAAGAAUCUGCCUGCAAUGCAGGUAGACCUAGGUUCGAUCCCUGGGUUGGGAA
rfam:TPA: Bos taurus chromosome 27, whole genome shotgun sequence.